rnacentral:rRNA from 1 species
AGUGAACGCUGGCGGUAGGCCUAACACAUGCAAGUCGAACGGAAGCACAGUAAGAGCUUGCUCUUACGGGUGGCGAGUGGCGGACGGGUGAGGAAUACAUCGGAAUCUACUUUUUCGUGGGGGAUAACGUAGGGAAACUUACGCUAAUACCGCAUACGACCUACGGGUGAAAGCAGGGGAUCUUCGGACCUUGCGCGAUUGAAUGAGCCGAUGUCGGAUUAGCUAGUUGGGGGGGUAAAGGCCCACCAAGGCGACGAUCCGUAGCUGGUCUGAGAGGAUGAUCAGCCACACUGGAACUGAGACACGGUCCAGACUCCUAAGGGAGGCGGCAGUGGGGAAUAUUGGACAAUGGGCGCAAGCCUGAUCCAGCCAUACCGCGUGGGUGAAGAAGGCCUUCGGGUUGUAAAGCCCUUUUGUUGGGAAAGAAAAGCAGCAGGUUAAUACCCCGCUGUUCUGACGGUACCCAAAGAAUAAGCACCGGCUAACUUCGUG